UACGGAGGGUGCAAGCGUUAUCCGGAUUCACUGGGUUUAAAGGGUGCGUAGGAGGGCAGGUAAGUCAGUGGUGAAAUCUCCAAGCUUAACUUGGAAACUGCCGUUGAUACUAUCUGUCUUGAAUAUUGUGGAGGUGAGCGGAAUAUGUCAUGUAGCGGUGAGAUGCUUAGAUAUGACAUAGAACACCAAUUGCGAAGGCAGCUCACUACACAAUCAUUGACUCUGAGGCACGAAAGCGUGGGGAUCAAACAGG
rnacentral:rRNA from 1 species